UACAGAGGGUGCUAGCGUUGUUCGGAAUCAUUGGGCGUAAAGGGCGUGUAGGCGGUUUGUUAAGUCAUGUGUGAAAUCCCUCGGCUCAACCGGGGAACGACGCAUGAAACUGGCAAGCUAGAGUACCAAAGAGGGGGGUGGAAUUCCCGGUGUAGCGGUGAAAUGUGUAGAGAUCGGGAGGAACACCGGUGGCGAAGGCGGGUCUCUGGGCAAUUCCUGACGCUGAGGCGCGAAAGCGUGGGGAGCAAACGGG
rnacentral:rRNA from 1 species